rnacentral:tRNA from 1 species
GGACGUGUGACAGAGUGGUUUAAUGUACCUGGCUUGAGUCUAGGAGUUCUUACCGAGAACCGGGAGUUCGAAUCUCCCCGCGUCCG